rnacentral:rRNA from 1 species
CGUGUAGGCGGUUCUCUAAGUCGGAUGUGAAAUCCCGCAGCUCAACUGCGGAACUGCAUUUGAUACUGGAGGGCUUGAGUGUGGGAGAGGAAAGUGGAAUUCCUGGUGUAGCGGUGAAAUGCGUAGAUAUCAGGAGGAACACCCGUGGCGAAGGCGGCUUUCUGGCCCACCACUGACGCUGAGACGCGAAGGCUAGGGGAGCGAACGGGAUUAGAUACCCCGGUAGUCCUAGCGGUAAACGAUGGAUACUAGGUGUUAGAGGUAUCGACCCCUCUAGUGCCGCAGCUAACGCAUUAAGUAUCCCGCCUGAGUAGUACGGCCGCAAGGUUGAA